CCUACGGGUGGCUGCAGUGGGGGAUAUUGCACAAUGGGGGGAACCCUGAUGCAGCGACGCCGCGUGGGUGAAGGAGCGUUUCGGCGCGUAAAGCCCUAUCGGCAGGGAAGAAAAUGACGGUACCUGACUAAGAAGCCCCGGCUAACUACGUGCCAGCAGCCGCGGUAAUACGUAGGGGGCAAGCGUUAUCCGGAUUUACUGGGUGUAAAGGGAGCGUAGACGGCGGGCCAAGUCUGAUGUGAAAGGCCGGGGCUCAACCCCGGGACUGCAUUGGAAACUGGCAUGCUGGAGUGCCGGAGGGGUAAGCGGAAUUCCUAGUGUAGCGGUGAAAUGCGUAGAUAUUAGGAGGAACACCAGUGGCGAAGGCGGCUUGCUGGACGGUAACUGACGUUGAGGCUCGAAAGCGUGGGGAGCAAACAGGAUUAGAUACCCUUGUAGUC
rnacentral:rRNA from 1 species